rnacentral:misc_RNA from 1 species
UGCCUGAAGAUCCCUCUGCUGGGCCAGAAGUUUCAUUUCAACCACUCGGUACUGCUGAAGUCUUUCUUGUAGGAAUGCAAGAGCAGAGUUAACAUCGAGACCAGAUUGGCUGAGAUAAGACUGAACGUCUUGUACGAAUGAUGCCGCCGGUAUACCUCUUCUCUCCGUCACUUCACCGGUGUAUGACGAACACUCCGCCGCCGCCGUCAUCGCCGUCAAAG